UACGAAGGGGGCUAGCGUUGUUCGGAAUUACUGGGCGUAAAGCGCGUGUAGGCGGGUCCUUAAGUCAGGGGUGAAAUGCCAAGGCUCAACCUUGGAACUGCCUUUGAUACUGGAGAUCUUGAGUCCGGGAGAGGUGAGUGGAAUUGCGAGUGUAGAGGUGAAAUUCGUAGAUAUUCGCAAGAACACCAGUGGCGAAGGCGGCUCACUGGCCCGGAACUGACGCUGAGACGCGAAAGCGUGGGGAGCAAACAGG
rnacentral:rRNA from 1 species